ACCUCCUACGGGAGGCAGCAGUGGGGAAUAUUGCACAAUGGGCGCAAGCCUGAUGCAGCCAUGCCGCGUGUGUGAAGAAGGCCUUCGGGUUGUAAAGCACUUUUCAGUCGUGAGGAAGGUAGUGUAGUUUAAUAGCUGCAUUUAAUUUGACGUUAGCGACAGAAGAAGCACCGGCUAACUCCGUGCCAGCAGCCGCGGUAAUACGGAGGGUGCGAGCGUUAAUCGGAAUUACUGGGCGUAAAGCGCAUGCAGGUGGUUUGUUAAGUCAGAUGUGAAAGCCCGGGGCUCAACCUCGGAAUUGCAUUUGAAACUGGCAGACUAGAGUACUGUAGAGGGGGGUAGAAUUUCAGGUGUAGCGGUGAAAUGCGUAGAGAUCUG
rnacentral:rRNA from 1 species